GACGAACGCUGGCGGCGUGCUUAACACAUGCAAGUCGAACGAGACGAUUGAAAGCUUGCUUUUAAAAGUCGAGUGGCAAACGGGUGAGUAACGCGUAGACAACCUGCCUUUGAGAUGGGGACAACAGUUCGAAAGGACUGCUAAUACCGAAUGUUGUAUAUUUUCCAUAUGGAAGAUAUAUUAAAGAUGGCCUCUAUUUAUAAGCUAUCGCUCAAAGAUGGGUCUGCGUCUGAUUAGCUGGUUGGUGGGGUAACGGCCUACCAAGGCGACGAGAAGUAACCGGUCUGAGAAGAUGAACGGCCACAUUGGGACUGAGACACGGCCCAGACUCCUACGGGAGGCAGCAGUGGGGAAUCUUCCACAAUGGACGAAAGUCUGAUGGCGCAACGCCGCGUGGGUGAAGAAGGGUUUCGGCUCGUAAGGCUCUGUUGUCGGGGACGAAUGUGCAGUAUUUGAAUAAAGUACUGCAAUGACGGUACCUGACGAGGAAGCCACGGCUAACUACGUGCCAGCCGCCGCCGUAAAAC
rnacentral:rRNA from 1 species